rnacentral:rRNA from 1 species
GACCACCUCACUUUCCCCCUCUCCCGCCCUCUCUCUCGAUUUCGGCGACACCCGAAACAUCCACCGCCAUGGCCGCCGUCGCCCUCGCACUCCCGGUCGCCCCCGAGCCCAGCUAGUCCGGCCAAGACCCCGCCAUGCUCGGCUACGUCGUCCGCGCCCAUCGGACCGAGCCGGGAGCCACCGCUGCGUCGCCCACGACGUCGUCUUCUUCCUCUGCCUCGCCGGCGAACCUCAUCGAUCUCGGCCGUCACUGCUGCUCCCGAACCCCGACGAGCCUUUCUUGCGCUCCAAGACCCCGCGACGAUGCUGAUGCCCAUGUGAUCGACUACGUCACCGACGACCCCUCCUUCUCGUCUGAGCAACCAGAUGUCGGAGCCCAGGAGCCAGAUGCCACCGUCGAUGCCUACUACUACGUGGAGACCGCCGACGACCAGGAGUAGUUAGGAGGCUCCCAGGCAGGAGGCCUUGCCUUUUCGAUCGAUGUUGCUUUUGUGCUAGCCUUCUUAAGGCAAACUUGUCUAACUUACGUCUGUACUCAGAUAUUGUUGCUUCCGCUGACUCUUGUGUAUUCGAGCCCUCAAGGCCCCUGGCUUGUAAUAUAAAGCUUGUAUUA